CCUACGGUGUGCAGCAGUGAGGAAUAUUGGUCAAUGGGCGCGAGCCUGAACCAGCCCAGUAGCGUGAAGGAUGACUGCCCUACGGGUUGUCAACUUCUUUUAUAAAGGAAUAAAGUGAGGCACGUGUGCCUUUUUGUAUGUACUUUAUGAAUAAGGAUCGGCUAACUCCGUGCCAGCAGCAGCGGUAAUACGGCGGAUCCGAGCGUUAUCCGGCGUUAUUGGGUUUAAAGGGAGCGUAGAUGGGGUGUUAAGUCAGUUGUGAAAGUUUGCGGCUCAACCGUAAAAUUGCAAGUGAUACUGGCAGUCGUGAGUACAGUUGAGGUAGGCGGAAUUCGUGGUGUAGCGGUGAAAUGCUGAGAUAUCACGAAGAACUCCGAUUGCGAAGGCAGCUUACUAAACUGCCACUGACAUUGAUGCUCGAAAGUGUGGGUAUCAAACAGGAUUAGAGACCCCAGUAGUC
rnacentral:rRNA from 1 species